AACGCGAAGAACCUUACCUGGGCUUGAAAGGUCGUCUAAACAGGUGAAAGCCUGCUACCCGCAAGGGGGGCGAUACAGGUGCUGCAUGGCUGUCGUCAGCUCGUGCCGUGAGGUGUUUGGUUAAGUCCAGCAACGAGCGCAACCCCUGAAUUUAGUUGCCAGCACGUAAUGGUGGGAACUCUAAAUUAACUGCCUACGCAAGUAGUGAGGAAGGUGGGGACGACGUCAAGUCAUCAUGGCCCUUACGUCCAGGGCAACACACGUGCUACAAUGGCGGCUACAACGCGCAGCAAUACCGCGAGGUGGAGCGAAUCGCUAAAAAGCCGUCUCAGUUCGAAUCGGAGUCUGCAACUCGACUCCGUGAAGUUGGAAUUGCUAGUAAUGGUGUAUCAGAAUGAUACCGUGAAUACGUUCCCGGGCCUUGUACACACCGACUGUAC
rnacentral:rRNA from 1 species